rnacentral:lncRNA from 1 species
CCAUUAUUUGAUGGAUUAUAGCUCAGCCAAAACCGAUAUCAACACCGAUCGUUCUUCACUUCUUGCCUUGAAAUCUCAAAUCACUUUAGAUCCUCAAAAUAUAUUGACCCAAAAUUGGAGCACUGAAGCCAGUGUUUGUAGUUGGAUAGGAGUUACUUGUGAUUCACACUACAAUAGGGUGACUAACUUGAAUAUAUCGCACAUGGGUCUUGUCGGAACCCUCCCACCAGAAAUCGGGAAUCUUUCUUUCCUCGUCUCUUUAAAUGCGAGUCAUAACUCUUUUCAUGGCCCCAUUCCCCCAUCUAUCUUCAACAUGUCAUUUCUAGAAGUUUUGGAACUAAAGAAUAAUAGUUUGUCUAGUAGUUUACCUCUUGAUAUGUGCAUACACAAUCUGCAUAGACUCAAGAGGCUUCGUAUAUCUUACAACGUGUUGUAUGGGGAAAUACCAUCGAGUUUGGGGCAGUGUUCACAGCUUGAGUAUCUUUCUUUGUACAACAACAAUUUCACUGGAUUUGUGCCGAGAGAAAUUGGGAACUUGACCAAGCUUCAAGAGUUGUACCUUGGUGAAAAUAAGUUGACUGGUAAGUUCAUUCCUAUAUUUAUGAGGUCAAAUCAUGCAUUUAAUGCCAUAUUAUUUAAUUCUUUAAUUUAUGUGCUUUAUGUUUGAGUGUCAAAUUUAAAAUUUAUCUCAGCUUAAUUGUAUGUAUAAACUCAAUUUGGACCACUAAUCAUUAUACAAUAACGCAUACAAAGUUUUCGAACCUUUAGAAAAUCUUUGAUGAUCUUUCAUUUAAACACAAACCAGUUUAGUGGUAAUAAAUUGCAAGGACCAUCAACAUUUACCAAUGAUUGGACUCUUUUUCAGUCAAUUUAAGUGAUACUAGUAAAUUGCAAGGAGCAUUACCUAAAUCCUUGAUCAAUUGUCAAAGUCAUAUAAUUGUGUCUUUCACAAAUUUAUAAAUGACUUUUCCAUAUAACAUUCAUUAGGACUAGUAAUCUAAAAUACUUUGAAUUAAAUAUACUAUAUUUAUAAAGAAUUCAAUAUAUUCAUUUUAAAUGUUAAGUAGGAUGUGUUAGCGUGUAUUUACAUGACAUUGUUUUAUAUUUAAAGAUUCAUAGGUUAGGGUGAUAAGUAAUAUUUUCCAUAUAAGUUUCAAUCUAGAAUUAAACUAACUUUGUGUGAUGAUUUGAAUAUUUGUAGGAGUUAUUCCACAAGAGAUACAUCAUCUUCAUAAUUUAAGAGUGUUGGACUUGAGUUUGAACAAGUUGUCAGGCACUUUGCCACCAACCAUUUUCAACAUGUCUUCCUUGGUAUGGAUUGACUUAUCAAGUAACACACUUAGCGGGGCAUUGCCUUCAAUAAUUGGGAACAAGAAAGCAGUACUAGAGUUUUUAUACCUUGAAAACAAUGCUUUAACCGGUAAGAUUUCUAACUCUUGUAGGGUUUUACACAUAUUCAAAUGUUUCUUAAUUUUCAUGUAUAUUUAGCGUUUACAGCCAUUGUGAGACCUUUAACUUCUUCUCAAAUCUAUAUUUGACUUUUCCAUAUAGCAUUUACAGCUAUGUCCUUCUCAAAUCUAUAUUGUUCUUUGUCUUCCAUUGAUUAGUGGAAUAAAUAUCAUUGUACUUAAAUAGCUCAAAAUUUCCCAUCCGAUCAAAUCAUGUAUUUUUACCUAUUAUUGUUAUGAUCGUUAUACUUAACAAUAUGGAACUUGACUUUGAUGACUUCAUUAUUCUCCAGGUACUAUUCCGAAAGAGAUUGGAAAUCUUCAUAAUUUAUGGUUCAUGUGGUUGGGUUCCAACGAACUUAGCGGAUCAAUCCCGAGAGAAGUGGGGAACAUGACAGCUCUUUCUGACUUACGGCUCGACAAUAAUAGUUUAAGUGGUAUUAGAACUCUUUUAGCGAGUUAAUUUCUUUUUUUGGGGAUUCCCACAAACUUAGUGGAGCUUUAAUUGUACCCACAAAUUUGGAAUAUUAGAACUCUUUGUCGCUCACACCUUUUUAACAUUUAUUUAACUUUUCCGCCAGGUACUAUUCCUAAAGAGAUUGGAAAUCUUCGUAAUUUACACUACUUAAGUUUGUCUUGACUAUUUAUGGCUCCACAAUAAUACUUUAAGUGGUAUGAUUUAUUAUUUAGCUAGCCACAAGUUUAGGUAAAAGAUAAUAUUGUUUGUUAAAUUAAAUAGAUGCAAAGUAAAAGAUAUUUGAUAGGUUUUGGAGAGCUUUUAUUCAGGUAAUUAAAAGAUAGUAAUAGAUUGUUUUAUUACUUCGCAAAUUCAUUUCUAAAGAAAAUUAUUUUCACCUUUAAGAGUCUCGUUUCUUUUCCAACAUUCGACACAAAAGUAUUUUUCCUUUCUUAUUUUCACUUCAAUGAUGGAUAAUAUUAGAAGGAUAAUAUUAUCCAUCAUUGAAGUGAAAAUAAGAAAGGAAAAAUACUUUUGUGUCAAAUGUUAGAAAAGAAAUGAGACAUUUGAAAGCAUAAAUUUUUGUUUCUUUUCAAUUGGAACCAUCUUCAGCACUCGUCUCUUUAUCCUAAAAGAUGGAAGCACUAAAUCUUUUAUUCCUUGGAAACAAUGACUUUGACUCUAGGACGCAAACAUUAAAAGGUUCAUAAAUUAGGGUGAUAAGUAAUAUUUUCCCUAUACGUCUCAAUCUAGAAUUAGACUAACUCUUUGUGAUGAUUUGGAUAUUUGUAGGAGUUAUUCCACAAGAGAUACAUCAUCUUCAUAAUUUAACAGUGUUGGACUUGAGUUCGAACAAGUUGUCAGGCACUUUGCCACCAACCAUUUUCAACAUGUCUUCCUUGACAUGGAUUGACUUAUCAAGUAACACACUUAGCGGGGCAUUGCCUUCAGAAAUUGGGAACAAGAAAGCAGUACUAGAGUUUUUAUACCUUCAAAACAAUGCUUUAACCGGUAAGAUUUCUAACUCUUGUAGAGUUUUACACAUAUUCAAAUGUUUCUUAAUUUUCAUGUAUAUUUAGCAUUUACAGCCAUUGUGAGACCUUUAACUUCUUCUCAAAUCUAUAUUUGACUUUUCCAUAUAGCAUUUACAGCUAUGUUCUUCUCAAAUCUAUAUUGUUCUUUGUCUUCCAUUGAUUAGUGGAAUAAAUAUCAUUAUACUUAAAUAGUAUACAGCUCAAUCUCCCAACCGAUCGAAUCACGUAUUUUACUUAUUAUUCUCAAUUAUGAUUGUUAUACUUAACAAUAUGGAACUUGACUUUGAUCACUUCAUUAUUCUCCAGGUACUAUUCCAUCCUCCAUCUGUAACUUGACAUCUCUUGGAUUUCUUGUUCUCUCAAAUAACACCUUGGAAGGAACAAUUCCACAAUGCUUUGGAAAUUUGAGCAAAUCUUUGCUCAUUUUUCAUUUAAAUGUGAAUCAGUUUAGUGGUCUCAUUCCAUCAUCAUUUAGCAAGGGAUGUGGCCUUGUGUCCAUCAAUUUGAAUGGUAAUAAAUUGCAAGGACCAUUACCUAAAUCCUUGAUCAAUUGCCAAAGACUACGAGACCUCGACGUCGGAAAUAAUAGAAUACAAGACGAAUUUCCCUUUUGGAUGGAAGUCCUUCCAGACCUUCAAGUGCUGGUCUUGAGGGCUAACAAGUUUUAUGGUAACAUGUCACUUCCUUCGCAAACCAAGAUUCCAUUUCAUAAUUUGCAAGUUUUAGAUAUAUCUCAGAAUAGAUUUGUGGGCUCUCUGCCUCAAGGAUAUUUCAAGAAUUUCAGAGCAAUGAUAGAGGUAAAUGAAACAAACUUGUCAACUAACGACACCUUCUUUAAAGAUUAUGUGGAGAUGAGGCUCACCUUGAAAGGUCUGGAUCAAUUAUUACAGAGAUUGUUGUCAGCCUUUACAACAAUCGACUUAUCCUCCAAUAGAUUUUCUGGGAGUAUUCCACAUUCCAUAGGAAAUCUUAAGAUUCUCAAAUACUUGAAUCUGUCCCACAAUAACCUCAUAGGAAAUAUCCCUUCAUCUCUUGGAAAUUUGAGUGAACUUGAAUCUUUAGACUUGUCGGUGAACAAGUUGGAUGGAGAAAUUCCAAGUGAAUUGACAGGGUUGACAUUUCUUGCGAAAUUAAACCUUUCAAUGAAUAAUUUUGUGGGACAAAUACCACAGUCUAAGCAGUUUUCCACAUUUGAGAAUGAUUCAUACGUGGGAAACUUGAGACUGUGUGGAGUUCCGUUGACGAGAAAAUGCAACGACGAGAAUGGGCAUGAGAUGAAGCCACAAGAAGAUGAUGAUGAAGAAGAUGAGUUUGGAUUUAUAGAUGGAUUUGGAUGGAGAAGUGUGGUGAUGGGAUAUGGAAGUGGAUUCAUAGUUGGAAUUGGAAUUGGUUACAUUAUCAUUAGAAAUGGAAGGCCAAGAUGGUUAGUGGAAUUCUUUUUUGGCAUUGGAUAUAAUAAUAAUAAUAAUAAGAAGAAGAAGAAGAAGAAGAGACGCAGCAGAGCUACACCAACACCACCAACACGCAGGAGAACUUAAUUGAAGGCUUGUGCUCGAAUUGUGUUUUCUUUUUCUUAUUUCCUUUGUAAUGGCUACGUUAGUGUGUUUUUAGAGUUUACGAAAUGUUGUUGUUUGUUCAAAUAUGUGAAGUUUUAAUUUUAUCUCGUUUAGGUAAUUUUUUGGAUAAACUAAAACAGUUUUGUGAUUUUAUUUGUUAAAUAUUUAGAUUAUUAAAAAUGUCAUCCUCUUAGUGACAUAGAACUGCUUGCUGGAUUUCUUCGAGCAAAAAUACUACACAUGAAUCUAGUUGGAACAGAUUCUGUUAAGCCUAUGAACAGAUCCUCAAAAUCAUCAAAUUGAUUUGGAGAAAUGAUCGUUUGUUUACUUAUAAAUCGUUGGUUUGUAUUGGCUGCUUAAUUUAUAAAUAAUGUUUUAUACAAUUUUUUUGGCUCUUGUUUUAUUAAUUAACUAAUUUAAUUUAAUAAUCUACAAAAUAUCUUACUUCUUAUUCUAUAUAAAAAUAGAAAAAAAGUGUAAUUAAAUAAAAAAAAUAGUCAUAGAAAGGUGUAGUGAAUUUAAUUUUAUACAGCCAAUGAAAAUAGACUACAACGUAAAUAUGCAACACAAAUGAUGUUGAGAGCAUAUUGCAGGAGUCUCUUGUUGAAUUAAGUAAUCAAAUAGUAAUAAAAUAAUAAUUACUCAAAAUAGAAAACACAACUUAUACAGAAGGGUUGCUAUAUCAUGUGACAUUUUAUCGAACAGUUGGAGCACUUAUCUGCAUACAAGAUUCUGCUGGGCAUUUUCUCGAACAGUUGGAGCGCCUCUUUGUUGGCCGAUAUGAACUAGAUUCUCACGUCCCCGCUUAGAGGUUAUAAAUUGAUACUCCCUCUGUCUUAGCUUUUAAUAUCUAUAUUUUCAUUUUAGUCCGUCAUUUUUUUUUAUUCAUUUCUAUUUUUGGUAAAAGUAUGUGACACCCUUACUCCACUUUAAUUACUUUAACACUCGCAUAAAAGGUAAGACCUUUAUUCCACUCGUAACACACUUAACCUCUUUAUUAAAACUUGUGUCACUUUCAAAUGGAUACUAAAAAUUGGGAAGGAGAGACUAUAUUUUUAUCAUCUUUAAGCAAAAGUCAAAUUGAGUUUGAACACGAAUUAUUUAACUAUGUUAACAUUUAUUGAAACAAGAAAAAUUAAUUAUUCACAUAUCCGAGCAUAUUACACAUUUUUUAAGUGUAAUUUAUCAAUCAUGUUAUAUGUAAUUCGCAUGCUAUUACAAAUGAUUCAAUGAAUAUAGAUAGAAAUGAAUAUAGAUAGAUAAAUCAUAAAUUUAUCCAGUAUAUACACCGAAAAUAGCGCCAACAUGUUUUCAUGAGCAUAAAAAAUAAAAAGAUAAUUAUGAAAUUCACACAUUGUCAUGUAAAUAUAUGAUAUAAGCACUGAAUGUAGUAUCCAAUCCUCGAUCUCAAUUCAAUAUGUCAUGUUUUCUUAUUUGUACGUUCCAUUUCAAUAAAUUAUUUCUUAAAAUGAAAUAUCAAUACAUUACAAACACAUUCACCUUUACACCAAGUAACAUUAUAUUAUAUCCCACAAAUAAGUACCCCUUCCGUCCCAAUAGUAGUCAGUGGCGGAUCCAGGGGGGGCUUCAGCCCCCUCCCAAUUUUUGAGUUUUUUUUUUUUAUUAUAGAUAUAUAUAUUUAUUAUUUUGUUUUAUAUCUAUAUAUAUGUGUAUAUAAAUAAAAAAUACAAGAAAAAAUAUAGUAAUACAUUAUUUAUAGUAUCCAACUAUCCAUAUUAAUUGCUCAACACAUUGAGUUGUUACAUUUAUAGUAUUAUUUUUAUCAUUUUUUCUUUCUUAGUUAAUUUUUAAUGUUAAAUUUGAGUCAAUUCUAAAGGUAAAAGUAAAAUUACUAAUUACUAACAAUGAAAAUUACUCCCUCCGUCCCUGAAAUGGCUUCCUCUUUGGGGACGGCACGGGUUUUAAUAAAAAGUUGUAAAGUGUAUUGAUAGUGAAGAAAAAGUGAUAUAAUUAUUAUUGGAAGUUGUGAAAAGUGUUAUACUCCCUCCGUCCCGCUAAAGUUGGCAACAUUCGUUUCGGCACGGAGAUUAAGAAAUUGAGUGUUAUAUGUUUUAAUAAAGUGUGGUCUACAAUUGUUGACCAAAUUAGUGAGUAAUUGUUGACUUAAUUAAAGUAAUUUUGACAUUUUUAGAAAGUGGCCUACAAUUGUUGACCAAAUUAGUGAGUAAUUGUUGACUUAAUUAAAGUAAACUUUUGCCAUUUUUAGAAAGUGGCCAACUUUAGUGGGACACCCAAAAUAGAAAUGUUGCCAACUUUAAUGGGACGGAGGGAGUAAUUAGUAUUGAGAGUGGUGAAAAGUGAAAAGUAAGAAUAAAUAAAGUAUUAUUAGUGGUGGGGUAGGUUUCCAAAAAUGGAAAAAAAGAAAGAGGAAGUUAUUUGGGGGACGUCCCAAAAUGGAAAAAGAGGAAGUUAUUUUAGGGACGGAGGGAGUAGUUUAUUUGUUUAGAAGAUGAAACAAUUUUUUUUUAAGAAAAAUGAAUAAAAGUACGUUUUUAUAUGCUUUCAAUCUACUUGAUGUUGAAUUAAUUGAAUUGCGAACAAUUAUCUUAUUAUAUUAAGUGAUUGUUGAAAAAAUGUAUGAAAAUGAAGUGUACGGAAUGCUCAAAAAAAUUUACUUCGGGGGCUCCCGCCCCCGAACCCCCGUGUAAAUAUUUUCAAGCACCGUAGUCCAAUAGAUUCAGCCCCCCCCCCUAACAUUGAAUCCUGGAUCCGCCCCUGAUAGUAGUGUCCCACUUCACCUUUCCACUUUCUUUUUUGGCAAUAUAGUCUAUCUCUAUAUUAUUUAAAUAAUUUUCAUCAAUCCACUUUAUCUACUUUUUACACAUUCCUUAAUCUAUAUGUCCAAAAGUAACGGGACACUACUAAUGGGACAGAGGGAGUAGUAUUUUUAUAUAUUUCUAAAUUCUUUGAUAAAUACAUCUUUAAAAAAAUUAUUAUAAGCUAUUUAUUUUUAAUAUUUUAAUUUGUAAACUCAAUUUUCUCUCUUUUAGUUCAUUAUAAACUAUUUAUUUUUUAAUAUCUGUAUUCAUAUUGAAGUGUUGCAUGACAUUUCUUAAACUCGUGCCACAUUUUGGUUCAUAUUUCUAUUUUUAGUAAAAGUAGGUGAGACUAUUGCUAAAUGAUAAACAUGCAUUUUUACCUCUUGGAGUGUCAUUUUUGAUGCUAAGUUGUGAGGAUUUUGUGUGUUUGAUGGUCUAUUUGAGCUUAUAUUCGUUUAUGGUCAAGAACUUGUUACUUGCUUGUGUUUGAACGAAUUUUCAGAAAUAAUGAAGCAGAAUAUGGAAGAAUUGGCUGAAAUACAAGUUGUAGUUCGUCUCGAUAGGAGUUCGUGAGCGCAAACGGAUCAUAAAUCGGAGUUCGGACGAGAAAGAACGAGCCAAAACAAAAUCGUUGCGCAAAGCUAUCAGGAGUUCUGUUUCGUCGCGCGGUCCAGGCUCGCGGCCGCGCGACGUGGCCGCGCGAGUCUCCGUAUUUCCGCCCAAAAUUCGUUUUUUUGCCAUUUUGGGUAUUUUUGAGAGCUACAAGACCUAGGGCAUAUAAAUACUCCCCAAGAACUUAUUCUCUGCACAUUUUAUCAUCUUUUAUCAUAUUUUACUUUUCCUGAGAGCUGAGAGAGACGGAGAACGGAGCAAGAGCAAGAUUGAAGAUUCUCAACUAUACUACGGUUUUAUUGUUGAAUGAUUAUUUGUAUUUUUGAGAAUUGUAUUCUAGUUCAUAUGUCUAUGUGUGGCUAGAAUCCCUUUUUCCCAGGGUUUAGGGAGUAGACAUGAUUUGAAUUUCUGACUGUUUGAUUCGAUUAAUUGAGAUUGUUAUUCCUUUUUAUGUUCUUGUUAUAAUUGUUUGCUUUAUUGAUUGGCCACCAAUUUAGCAUAAUCAUAGGUUUUAAUUUGAGAUCGGGAGAUGAUAAUUAUUACCUGAACUAAGAACAUAGAACACAUAUAUUUAAUUCUAAAGGGAAUUGAUAUUUGUGAGGGCGUUAAUCCUAUGAGCUUUUAGGAGUUGCAUGUUAGAAGUGCGAUCCGGGGACGGUAGCCUUGCAUGUAAUCAACGGUUUGUAUGCCACGGGAGUGGGUAUAGACUAGUUUUGAGAUUGCCUUAGGAAUCAUCUUAUUAUUUGAAUUGAACAUGUUAGUUAGGAGAAUCUGUUGAAACUUUUGCCUUGGGAAAUCUUCUCUUAUCUGUUUCUCUGUUUCACAGCUUGCUUUAUUUUCUUUCUUGCUGUUUAUUUAUUUUGUUCUUUACUACAAAAACUCUCAUUUUCGUUUGUCCAGAUAGAGUAGAAUAAUUUAGGAUAGGCAUUGAUAAUAAUUAGUCUCUGUGGAAUACGACCUUGCUUGCUACUGUACACAAUUGCAUCCGUACACUUGCGGCGUGUUAAUAAAAUAGCGAACACUAAACUUUAAUUAUUUUAACACUUAGGACAUUUAUUCUACUCACAACACCCAAUCACUUUAUUAAAAUUCGUGUUACUCUCAAAUAGAUACUAAAAGUUGGAACGAAAAGAGUACUAAAUUUAUAGUAAAAAUUUGUGUAUUUCGAUCCACAUGGUAUCUCAUAGUCAAACUAAUUGCAUAAAGACAAAUUUAUUGCGGCUUUAGUUUAAAAUUCCGAAAUUCUACACAAAAUUGUUUAAUAAUUUUUCCAAAAUUCACUAUGAAUAAGGGUUUAUUAAAUUCUUUAUUUUAAUAAUAAUAAUAAUAAUAAUAAUAAUAAUAAUAAUAAUAAUAAUAUGAUACGAUCCGUAUCAAUGGUGAAGCUUUUCGAGCAAGCUCAAACUCCAGAAAUCAAGAGAGAAGAAAGAAGUUUGAUAACUAACAACCAAAAUAUUCAUUCAUACUCAAUAAACUUGGAGAUUACAUCAUUUAUACCUAAUAAUAAAAACCUAAUGGGCUAAUGGGCUAGAACAUAAUAGGGCCAAGCUAGGGGAUGGGCUGGGUGUAUCAUUCCCCACUCCUUCACAAUCACCUUGUCCUCAAGGUGAAGUUGUAAAGAAAAAAAUGGCUAUGGGAGAUGAUUUGGCCCGUUAAUUGCAAAAACAAAACUAAAUAGAGCCAAAAUACACUGCUCGACUCAUGCUUGAUAAAAGCUCCGACUGAAAAUCAACUAAGAAGCUUGAUAAAACUACGACCAACAUGUGCUCGACAAAAGUCUCAGCUGAAAACCUGCAGAAAAUUAAUCCGAGCAAACUCAAAACUGAUGCACAUCAGCUGGGCGUGCCCACGAGAUCCGGGCGGCGGUUCGCCACAUAGCUGGACUUCUUGAUCAAGUCCACGAUCCUUCUCCUUGACGUCGACGGCGUGAUGUGGCGCGGUUAAUAGCAGAGACAAGCCUUGAGGCCGUGGAAGAACCCCAAUUUUUUGAUCUCGGAGGAAGCGAGCACUUGGGCUGUGGGCAGCCACAAUCAAAGCUUUAGGGCCACUCAUAUUGGGCCCAAAUAUAUUGAUUGGGUUGGGCUCUUCAUUCUUAGACUUGGGCCCAAUAGAAAUCUCAAACAACCAAUUCAAUGGGUAAUGAUAAACCCUCGCCCGCUGUAGAAUAAUUGAGAUUGUCGGCAACGUCGGCGGCGGGGGUACACCCUCAAUAAUCUCAUCGUCAACUGCCGAAAUAGGAUUGCUCGGUGGAUCAAGGUCAUCUUCUCCAUAACCCAGAAGGAGUAUUUUUUUGUUGCGGCAGCGGUGGGUCGGAGACGGUGGUGACUGACUAGGUGGGGUGGGCGUUGGUGGGGGAUUUCUCGAAGGAGUUAUUGGUGGCGGUGGUUGUGGUGGCGGCGGCGAUGGUGGUGGUGUUGCAGGGGAAGACGGUACGUUUGGGGGUGGCUCGGUGGGAGGAGGUGGUAUGGGGCAGUGGGGAUGUUGACGGCGGCGGAGGCUGGAGAUCUAUCUGUGAUAGCGGAGAUGGUGGUUCGAGUCCUGUGAAAGGAUGGGGCGAUGAGAAUGGCUGUGCAGAGGCGCAAAUGCUUGAGAUAUCCUUCACUUUAACUUCAACUCCACCCAUGGAAUAAGGAGACUUGGGAUCUCCAAAGUCAUCCUCAUCAUCGGUGCCUAAAAGAAUCAAAUAUUUGCUGCGGCAUCGGUGGGUAUCGGACCAAGUUUGGUCACAAUUGUAACACAACCCGAGGUCGUUUUUAGCUUCGAUUUCAGAUCGGCUUAGACGGCGAAUGGGAAGAUGUGAUGUGGAGUGAGUUGUAUGUAAGAUUGGGGGAAACGAUGGUGGUGGAUAGGGAGCUGGAGUAAUGGGUGGUGGGGAAGGUGAUGGUGGUGGCGGAGAGUGGACUGGUGGCGGCGGAGACUGGGUGGGUGGCGGCGGGGAGUGGACUGGUGGUGGUGGGGAGUGGACGGGUGGCGGAGGAGAGUGCACUGGUGGAGGAGGGGAGUGGACGGGUGGCGGCGGAGAGUGCACUGGCGGGGGAGGGGAGUACACCGGUGGUGGAGGGGAGUGAACGGGUGGUGGGAAAGGAGAUGAAAACAGGGAGGAAUUUGGAGCCGCCUGAAAAUAGGCAUCGAAGGAGGUUGGCCAACUGUAGAUGGCGGUGUGAAGCUCUUCAAUGGCGGCACAGAUUUCAGAUCUUGACAUCUUUUUUUUUUUUUUUUGGAUAUUCAAAGAGAGAUACUCUCAAUGAAAGCACCAAUUGAUACGAUCCGUAUCAAUGGUGAAGCUUUUCGAGCAAGCUCAAACUCCAGAAAUCAAGAGAGAAGAAAGAAGUUUGAUAACUAACAACCAAAAUAUUCAUUCAUACUCAAUAAACUUGGAGAUUACAUCAUUUAUACCUAAUAAUAAAAACCUAAUGGGCUAAUGGGCUAGAACAUAAUAGGGCCAAGCUAGGGGAUGGGCUGGGUGUAUCAUAAUAAUAAUGGCAUACUCAAAAAUUAGAUUCAGCAAUUGUACUUGGCACCUAAUCCGAUCAGUUCUUUGCCCCAAAUUGUAGCAAGUGGGCCCCGCAACUUAACGCGCUAUAUAUACGCACCAAAGAUUUCAGCGUCGAAUUAGAAAAAAAGAAAAUCUAAAAAGGUUCGUUACUGUCGUAGCUGCCUGUCUCUCUACGAGCUUCUGCUUUCUCUCUCUACCUCCUUUUUCUUCUCUUUCACACUCUUUCUCUCUCUUCGAUCUCCCCCGAUCGAUGAAUGCAGGUUAGCUUCUCUGCUUAGCUCGUACCUCUCUGCUUGAAUUGUUCCGGAAGCUAUGUAAUUCUGUUUGAUUUGGGGGUAGCGGAGAAUUUUGAAUAAACCCUAAUUUCUCACUUUGCUCAAUUAUGGCUUUUGAGCUUGUGAAUGGGAGGUUGAAGUGUUUUGAUGUGUGGUUUAUGUAUUAAUUCACUCUUUGGUGUGGUAUUUGUUUGCUAAUUUUGAUAGUUUACCGUUAAAUACUCAUUCUUCUUGGAGUUCUUAGGUAUUAGUGGUUAGUAAUGUGUUUGAUUGGUCUCUUUUCUUUAUUAUAUGGCUUUUGGUAACUUAAUUGGGUUAAUCGUUGUUGAAAUUACUUAACUUUUUGUUUAUCACUGAAGAAGAAGAUUGCAUUUUGCAUUCUUGUGUAGCGAACUGUUGGAUUUUGUUUUGUGUAAUUAGUUAACUGUAUAUACCUGUGAUUUAUGAAGUCUCUAGAAUGCUUUUCAGUGGUUGAAUAUCUUGCAUUUCUGCUGUUUAUAAGAAGAUUGCAUUUUGCAGUGUUCUGUAGCUAAUAGCGAACUGUUGGAACUCUGUUUUGUGUAAUCAGUUAACUAAGUAGAAGUUUUAGAAGGCUGUCUAGUGGUUGAAUAUCUUUUGUUCUGCAAUUUUUGAUGAAAUUGUUUUUAUUGUCUUUUUAAGUCUUAUUACUUCUCUCUGAGUUUCGUCACUGUGGCUGGUGGAUUACAUUAGUCCGCGCAUUCGUGCUCUUUUUUUGUUGAUUAUUGCAUCAUAGUGUGAUUUGGUUUUUGCUGGUGCUCUUGAUGACUUUUUUAUUUGGUUUGAUGACUUGAGAUGCCCAUUCGACCCUCCACUGCAUCUUCAACUUCAAUUACCUGAAAUAUUUGUAAAGUAUGGGAUGAGCAUGCACAGUAUACUCAGUGUGGGAUAUCAUGCAAUAAUUGUCCAAGUUAAUAAAACGAUAACACAUACGAUAUUAACAUUUAUAACAUUUACUCGCACGGUGGCAUACCAAGGACCUUUCCGUCCUGGACCUAUUCAACGGGCCCCUGGCUAUUAUGGUUGCAACCUUAACUUUUACAUUUAAAUCGUAUUGUGGCAUACCAAAGACCUUUCCGGCCUGGACCCAUUCAACGGGCCCCUAACGAUAUAUAAUUUAACUCGUAUACGGUAAACACAUAAUAUUAAAAUGACCACAACAUGUAUUAAAAUAAAAUCUCACACUGAAAAUUUUGUACUUGAUUAAUAACUUGAGUAAUUCACAUCAACAGUUACGUUCUAGUCACGCCGUACCUAGUCAGAUAAAUUCAGAUAAUAGAUGUAAUCAAGCUUUUUUUUUAAGAUAAUUUAAAUAAUUUUAAGAAUUGUUCUAUAGCACUAACCCAAAGUCAUGAGCCUAAUAAAUAAAUAAAAUACUAAAAUAUGUAUACUUUCUUGUGGAACUUAGCUCAAAAUUUUUAACUAAUAAAGCAUGUUUCAAUACUUAAAUAUAUAAAAGUAGAUUUGAGCCCAUUUAUGCCAAAAAUCAAGUUCACUAUUUAAAGUCCAAGAAAAGAAAGUGUUCAGCCCAAUUAUAGAAGCCCAUAUUAAAUAUCCCUAAGCCCAAAACUCAUUUCAAUUUAGUAGAUUGUUAGUUAUGCUUUCUUUGUUCAAUUUAAUUAUGUUUUAUUUCGAUAACAUAGCAAAUUUAUUAAUUCAGUGAGUAUAAUGAAACACUAGUCUAAAAUAUGUGACCUAAUUGUUUUAUUGAUUGAUACAAUUGGAUGAAUUAUUUACAUCUCAAUGAGAAGAAGCUUUUAGUUUAAGAAGGGAUAUUCGUGCUUAUAAUAGAAUAUUGUCAUUUACUUCGUUCAGUGUAAAAUUGGAUAAAGAACUCGCAUCUGUAAGACGAAGAGUUUAUUCUUUAAUAUAUGAUCUUCCUGAAUUGAUCCCACAAUAUACAUGUAUUUUCAACUAUACUUUUAUGACGCACAAAGUGAGGUUGAGAACUGAAUUAACAUAAGAUGCACGUUUUAGAGUUCAACCCGUAUGAAAAAUUCUUACAAAUUAAUUUAUGUAAGAAUUUACCGGUGUUUUUGAUAAAAUUAUGUUAAUUAAUUUACUGGUGUUUCUGAUAAAAUUAUUUAAAUUUGAAUAAAUUUCCUCAUUACCAAGAGCUUAUUAUUAUUAUUAUUAUUAUUAUUAUUAUUAUUAUUAUUAUUAUUAUUAUUAUCUAUAUACUAAUAGAAAAGAGCCUAAGCAUUCUAUGGGACAACUUGCGGAUUGUCUAUUUUACCCCUAUUAUUUAUUUUGUAUUAUAUAUUUAUAAAAUAAAUCUAUUUGAUAUAUAUUUAUUUGCCACCCAAAUUUAUAAAUAAUAUUUUAUAUUAUAAAACCAAAUAUAUACAUAAAACCGUUGUCAAAUUAAUUAGAUCAAAAAUUUCUUCUCUACUUAGGUCCAAUAUUUGUUUCCCUCAUCUAAUCUAAUUUCUAAAUAAAUCCCUAAUAUAAUUGGUAAUUAUACAUCACAAUUCGUUUUUCCCUAAAAGAAGUUCAUUUAAACCAACGAUCAAGGAGAUUCCAAAAUCUUAUCGCAUUAGAAUUCUAUUUAAUUUAUUACAUAUUUUAUUUUAAGGUUUUUUUACAGUAUUAUAUAUUUAUAAGAAUAUAUUAUUCAUUAGAUAGUACACUAAAUCUAUGUGAUAUAUAUCUAUAGCUAUUGAUAAGGCUAUAAAUAAAUAUAUUCAUCCAAUAAAUUAUGUAAUGAAAGUAAUAAAUUAAUAGAUUUUCUAAAAUAAUAGAUUAUUAAAUAAAAUAACAUUAAUUACACGUACAACGUACGUUCUUUCUGCUAGUUACUCAAAAUGACUCGAAUAUUCAAAUUGCAACAAUUGCUCUAUUUCAGGGGGCAAUUGCGUAGAGCUUGGUUUUAGAUUGCGAAGUGUGAAUUACCCUUUAUUAUAUCUUAUUCAAAGAUCACAAAAAGGGGGAUUUAAAGUCUCCCAAAUCUAUUAUAAAAAUAGAGAAUAUCUUCUACUUUUGCAUGUUAUUCUACCACUUCAAAUAAACAAACAGGUUUUGUUGUUUAUUCAACUGACGUAGCCCUCUGAUCACGGCCAAAACUUAUAAUGCUAUUUAAUAUGAAUAUUAGGGUCAUUUUUUAAGAUUUGGGUUAGACUCAAUCUCCCAAAUCGAACAGAAAGUAGCUUUCCAUAUAAAUAGUCUUAGUUGCUUUUGCCUCCAAAAAUCACUCUUUAUAGUUCCACAAUUAUUUUCUUCGUCUUUUCCUCAUUCACACUCCAAUUAAUUAUUUUCUCCGUCUUCGUCGCUCCAAUGGGAAAAUAUUAUUUUAGCUUUGAAUAAAAGGAAACUCUGCAUUUCCUACUUUCAUCAUUAAUCCUUCCCAUUUGCCCAUCAUAUCCACACACACUCUAUAUAUACAUGUAUAUGGAUUUCAUAGUUCAAUAUUCUAAAAAAUUACUACUGUCAAAAUCAAGCCAAAAAAUGCAAAAAUCUCCCCAUUUUCUCAUCCUUGCACUACUCUUACCAAUCCAUUAUUUGAUGGAUUAUAGUUCAGCCAAAAACGAUAUCAACACCGAUCGUUCUUCACUUCUCGCCUUAAAAUCCCAAAUCACUUUAGAUCCUCAAAAUAUAUUGACCCAAAAUUGGAGCACUGAAGCCAGUGUUUGCAGUUGGAUCGGAGUUACUUGUGAUUCACGUUACAAUAGGGUUACUCAGUUGAAUAUAUCGUACAUGGGUCUUGUCGGAACCCUCCCACCAGAAAUUGGGAAUCUUUCUUCUCUCGUUUCUUUAGAAGUGAACGAGAACUCCUUUCAUGGCCCCAUUCCCCCAUCUAUCUUCAACAUGUCAUUUCUAGAAGUUUUGGAACUAAGGAAUAAUAGUUUGUCUAGUAGUUUACCUCUUGAUAUGUGCAAACACAAUCUGCAUAGACUCAAGAGGCUUCGUUUGUCUUACAACGAGUUGUAUGGGGAAAUACCAUCGAGUUUGGGGCAGUGUUCACAGCUUGAGUAUCUUUCUUUGGGCAACAACAAUUUCACUGGAUUUGUGCCG